GAGCUGCUCAGUGCCCAGCUUAGAGGACCAGGAAAAGGAGUCACCGGCCGUAUGCUGGAGGCUUGAGACACGGCACAGCGGCGCAGCUCGCCUCGCUAUGGUUGGUGGUGGCAGUGGAGAUUGCGAUUGCUGGAGGUCCUUUAGGUUGUUUGAGGGACAUUCAUCAAGGAAACCGGAGAAACUUAAAACGCUCUUCCGCUUCUUUGGAACAGUCACAGAGAAAAGUGAACUCCUUUCAUUCUUGCAGUAAUUUUUCUUGCUGAUGGGAACAGUUCAAGUCAAGUGACAUGUGAGGAACAUUUUGUGUUUAACGUAAACCUUCCUGUCCCAACCACAUUGAAACAGUAAUGAUGUGACAAGAUUUUGAAAGAACAAAGAGGAACUACAGAAUCAUUGCUUACAUUGACACUGGCCCUAUGGUCCCAAUGGAUGGGUUUUUUUUGGAUGAAUGUCAAAAUUGACCCUGCUGUUAAAGCUUGAAACUUGGAUCUGUUGUAUCUGAGUUCUCUCCUCAAAAAAAAGACCUUCAGGAAGUAUCAGAUAACUGAAACAUACCAGAUCACAGCACCACAUGCCUCCUGCCCCUCCCUAAUUUCUGUUCUCUUAUACAUUGUUAAAUUUCUUUCCUGCCCCUGUUAGUCAAGCCCAUGGAUUUGAGACUGAGCUCCCAGCUCCUGGGCUGCAGCACCAGGUUAAAGCUUUCUUCCUUGGCAGUACUUGUCACCUCAGUGACUGGCUUUUUCUCCGAUGAGCAGGAGGACCUGGACGAAACCCCUGGUGUUUGGGUAAUAACAUGAAUGACCAUCUUAACUGUUAUUCUUUAUUGA
rnacentral:lncRNA from 1 species